UAUACGGGAAUAAAGUUAGCCACGUGUGGCUUUUUGUAUGUACCGUAUGAAUAAGGAUCGGCUAACUCCGUGCCAGCAGCCGCGGUAAUACGGAGGAUCCGAGCGUUAUCCGGAUUUAUUGGGUUUAAAGGGAGCGUAGGCGGGUUGUUAAGUCAGUUGUGAAAGUUUGCGGCUCAACCGUAAAAUUGCAGUUGAUACUGGCGACCUUGAGUGCAACAGAGGUAGGCGGAAUUCGUGGUGUAGCGGUGAAAUGCUUAGAUAUCACGAAGAACUCCGAUUGCGAAGGCAGCUUACUGGAUUGUAACUGACGCUGAUGCUCGAAAGUGUGGGUAUCAAACAGGAUUAGAUACCCUGGUAGUCCACACAGUAAACGAUGAAUACUCGCUGUUGGCGAUAUACGGUCAGCGGCCAAGCGAAAGCAUUAAGUAUUCCACCUGGGGAGUACGCCGGCAACGGUGAAACUCAAAGGAAUUGACGGGGGCCCGCACAAGCGGAGGAACAUGUGGUUUAAUUCGAUGAUACGCGAGGAACCUUACCCGGGCUUAAAUUGCAACUGACUGAACCGGAAACGGUUCUUUCUUCGGACAGUUGUGAAGGUGCUGCAUGGUUGUCGUCAGCUCGUGCCGUGAGGUGUCGGCUUAAGUGCCAUAACGAGCGCAACCCUUAUCGAUAGUUACUAGCAGGUCAUGCUGAGGACUCUAUUGAGACUGCCGUCGUAAGAUGUGAGGAAGGUGGGGAUGACGUCAAAUCAGCACGGCCCUUACGUCCGGGGCUACACACGUGUUACAAUGGGGGGUACAGAAGGUAGCUACACGGCGACGUGGUGCUAAUCCCUAAAGCCUCUCUCAGUUCGGAUUGGAGUCUGCAACCCGACUCCAUGAAGCUGGAUUCGCUAGUAAUCGCGCAUCAGCCACGGCGCGGUGAAUACGUUCCCGGGCCUUGUACACACCGCCCGUCAAGCCAUGAAAGCCGGGGGUACCUGAAGUACGUAACCGCGAGGAGCGUCCUAGGGUAAAACUGGUGAUUGGGGCUAAGUCGUAACAAGGUAGCCGUACCGGAAGGUGCGGCUG
rnacentral:rRNA from 1 species